AGGUGUUAAUAAAUCAUCUCUC
rnacentral:snRNA from 1 species